rnacentral:rRNA from 1 species
UACGGAGGAUGCGAGCGUUAUCCGGAUUUAUUGGGUUUAAAGGGUGCGUAGGCGGCUUAGUAAGUCAGCGGUGAAAUUUUGCAGCUUAACUGUAACAGUGCCGUUGAUACUGCCAGGCUAGGAUUUGGUUGCUGUGGGUGGAAUGUGUGGUGUAGCGGUGAAAUGCUUAGAUAUCACACAGAAUAUCGAUUGCGAAGGCAGCUCACAAAGCCAAGAUUGACGCUGAGGCACGAAAGUGUGGGGAGGCAAACCGGA